rnacentral:rRNA from 1 species
UGAAUUCAUCUCCGGGGGUAGAGCACUGUUUCGGCUAGGGGGCCAUCCCGGCUUACCAACCCGAUGCAAACUGCGAAUACCGGAGAAUGUUAUCACGGGAGACACACGGCGGGUGCUAACGUCCGUCGUGAAGAGGGAAACAACCCAGACCGCCAGCUAAGGUCCCAAAGUCAUGGUUAAGUGGGAAACGAUGUGGGAAGGCCCAGACAGCCAGGAUGUUGGCUUAGAAGCAGCCAUCAUUUAAAGAAAGCGUAAUAGCUCACUGGUCGAGUCGGCCUGCGCGGAAGAUGUAACGGGGCUAAACCAUGCACCGAAGCUGCGGCAGCGACGCUUAUGCGUUGUUGGGUAGGGGAGCGUUCUGUAAGCCUG